rnacentral:rRNA from 1 species
AUUACGCUUGCAAAAGUGAAACUCAAAGGAAUUGACGGGGACCCGCACAAGCGGUGGAGUAUGUGGUUUAAUUCGAUGCAACACGAAGAACCUUACCAGGGUUUGAAAUCAUUUCAAAACUCCUUGAAAGAGGAGCCUCCUUCGGGAUGAAAUGACAGGUGGUGCAUGGCUGUCGUCAGCUCGUGUUGUGAAAUGUCGAGUUAAGUCUCGUAACGAGCGCAACCCAUGUCUCUUGUUGCUCAUUGAGUGCUUAAGAGAGACUGCCGACCAACAUCGGAGGAAGGUGUGGAUGAUGUCAAGUCAGCAUGCCCCUUACAUCCUGGGCUACACACGUACUACAAUGGUAGGGACAAUGAGCUGCGAUCCUGCGAAGGCUAGCCAAUCUCAAAAACCCUAUCUCAGUUCGGAUUGUACUCUGCAACUCGAGUACAUGAAGGUGGAAUCGCUAGUAAUCGCUGGUCAGCUAUACAGCGGUGAAUACGUUCCCGGGUCUUGUACACACUGCCCGUCACACCAUGGAAGCCGACUCUUCCCUAAGUCGUUACUCGAACCCAUUGGGACGAGGAUGCCGAAGGCAGGGUUGGUGACUAGGGUGAAGUCGUAACAAGGUAACC